UACGUAGGGGGCAAGCGUUGUCCGGAAUCAUUGGGCGUAAAGAGCGUGUAGGCGGCUCGAUAAGUCUGCUGUGAAAGUCCAGGGCUCAACCCUGGAAGGCCGGUGGAAACUGUCGGGGCUAGAGUCCGGAAGAGGCGAGUGGAAUUCCCGGUGUAGCGGUGAAAUGCGCAGAUAUCGGGAGGAACACCAAUGGCGAAGGCAGCUCGCUGGGACGGUACUGACGCUGAGACGCGAAAGCGUGGGGAGCAAACAGGAUUAAGA
rnacentral:rRNA from 1 species